rnacentral:rRNA from 1 species
GAUGAACGCUAGCGGCAGGCUUAAUACAUGCAAGUCGAGGGGCAGCAGGACUGUAGCAAUACAGUUGCUGGCGACCGGCAAACGGGUGCGGAACACGUACGCAACCUACCCAUAACUGGGGGAUAGCCCGGGGAAACCCGGAUUAACUACCCCGUAACAUAGUGAAGCGGCAUCGCUUUAUUAUUAUAGUUCCGGCGUUAUGGAUGGGCGUGCGCCUGAUUAGGUAGUUGGCGGGGUAACGCCCACAAGCCUACGAUCAGUAACUGGUGUGAGAGCACGACCAGUCACACGGGCACUGAGACACGGGCCCGACUCCUACGGGAGGCAGCAGUAAGGAAUUAUUGGUCAAUGGACGCAAGUCUGAACCAGCCAU